AACGAACGCUGGCGGCAUGCCUAACACAUGCAAGUCGAACGAGACCUUCGGGGCUAGUGGUGCACGGGUGCGUAACGCGUGGGAACCUGCCCUUAGGUUCGGAAUAACUCCCCGAAAGGGGUGCUAAUAACGGAUAAUGUCUUCGGACCAAAGAUUUAUCGCCUUUGGAUGGGCCCGCGUUGGAUUAGCUAGUUGGUAGGGUAAAAGCCUACCAAGGCGACGAUCCAUAGCUGGUCUGAGAGGAUGAUCAGCCACACUGGAACUGAGACACGGCCCAGACUCCUACGGGAGGCAGCAGUGGGGAAUAUUGGACAAUGGGCGAAAGCCUGAUCCAGCAAUGCCGCGUGAGUGAUGAAGGCCUUAGGGUUGUAAAGCUCUUUUACCCGGGAUGAUAAUGACAGUACCGGGAGAAUAAGCUCCGGCUAACUCCGUG
rnacentral:rRNA from 1 species